CCGCCGCUACAGCCCGCAGAGCAGGCUCCCUUGGCGGGUCGCUCUGUUGCCUUGGACCCGGACCCGGACCGGACCCCGGACCGCCACACGACAUGGGCCCCGCCGCCCGCGUCCUGGCCGCUCUGGCCCCGCUGCUGCUGCUGCUGCUGGGCGCGCCCUUGGCACGGGGUGACUGCGGGGAACCCCCCGAGGUGCAGCACACACAGCCACCAGACCUGAGCGGGCAGAAGAGCUUCUCCGUGGGCAAGUCUGUUACCUACAAGUGUGCCCCGGGUCUGGUGAAGAUGCCCGGCCUGCCCGACUCGGUGGUGUGCCAGCAGGACGGCCAGUGGUCAGAGCUGGCGGUAUUCUGCAACCGCAGCUGCGAUGUCCCACCCAGGCUGCUGUUCGCGUUUCUGCGGAUACGCUACAGCAAACAGAACUACUUCCCGGCUGGCUCCACUGUGCAUUACAGCUGCCGCGAAGGCUACACGAAGGUUAUGUCAGACAAGCUCACCUGCCUCCCCGAGUUUGUGUGGUCCAAGCCAAAUGAAUUCUGCAAAAAAAAACCAUGUCCUAACCCUGGAGAAAUAAAGAACGGCCACAUCAACAUAACAACUGACAUGUUGUUCGGGGCCACCAUUCUCUUCUCCUGUGACACGGGGUAUAAACUAGUGGGUGCAGCUUCCAGCUACUGUACUGUCAUGGGUAACAACGUGGGGUGGAGCAGCACGCCGCCGGAAUGCAAAGAAAUCAGUUGCUCAGCACCACCAGAAGUCCACAACGGAACCAUCCAGGAGCCACAGCCCUUGUAUGUGUACAGACAGUCUGUGACCUACAAAUGCGCUGAAGGCUUCACCCUGGCUGGAGACAAAUCCAUUUACUGCACCGUGAAAGACGGAGAAGGAGCCUGGAGCGGCCCACCACCCGAAUGCAGAGAUAAUUCUCAAAUUCCCAAGGUCACGCCAACUGUUCAGAAACCCACCACGGUAAAAACUCCAGUCACUAGACCCAAACCAACUCCUCCGAGAUCCACCUCAGUGCACAUUUCAGCCGCCCAGACUGCAGCCACCACCCGGGCCACCACGCGUGCCCACGCCACCAGCGCCACCAAGAGGAGGGGACCACCCCCGUCAGGUGCAGGCACGACAGUAUUUGCAGGGAGAAUCACAUUUGCUGUCAAGAGUGUGGAAUGUGGGAGCCACGAAUGCAGCAGAGUCCGUCCCUCCCAUCUAACUGACCCGAGAGAUAGUCUGUCUGUUGUUGUGAACUGCAUUGUGUGUACUUGCCGUGUCCUAUUAACCGUGUUGCCCAUUUUUCCCCCCUCAAGGAGUCGUUGCCGUUAUUAUAAUAAUUGGUAUCCUAAUUCUAGUCAGAAUUUACUGGAAGUAUGGAAAAUCAGGAGAGGGAGCAUUUCCUCUGAGAGAGAGAAAGAAAGGGGGACCAGUGCACCUGCCCAGCACCUGCAGCCCUGAGGAGCAGACCAAGAACCUCAGGUACGCAAGGCCUGUGUUCUGCCAGCGGAGCACUUUGCCCAGCCACUUUCUAUCACUAAACGGUUUGGUCUUUUAGCAAAAGCAUCUAGCCAUGAAGUCUGGGUCUUUUAAGGUUUUUUUUUUUACAAACAUUUGUGUGUGCUAGCAAGUCAUUCUAGAUGCUAUGUUAACAAUAUUAACAAAAUCUCCCCCCCCCCAAAUUGUUUAAAUGUGGUUCAGAGCACAGCAGACGUGAGCAGAUUCUAAGUCAGAUAGGUAGAGAUGCCCCAGCAGAACUCUGCCCUGCUGGCCCUGCCUGCCCUCUGAUGACCGGGGCUGCAGAAGGGUGCGGUGGAGGACGCCUGGCUAGCCUUGCCCGCUGGAAAGAUCACUGUCCAUGUCUGUGAUGGGGAGACAGUUGCUGGAACUUAGAAAGAGGGAAGGUUUGUUUUGAACCUCACUGGAGUAACCCCAGCUCCUCUCUCUGAGCCAGAGGAAAUGUUUGCACAUCCUUAGGAAAGGACCUUCCUUUUCCUGGUGCCUUAAUAAAUCGCUCCACUGCCUGGCUUUGAGCAUAAUCUCCUGAUGGAGAGAGCUGACUCAGCACAUUCCCAGGGUCCCUGUGAGGUCUGAUACAGGUGUGGCUUAGAAGGGUGGGGGGCGAGUGAGUGGACAUGCCCCUGCAACCCCUCCGUCGGCCCCGGGAGGAUCCCCUCCCUUCUCUGGAAGCCCUGGGCUCAGAGGGCAAGUGCGACGGCAGAGAGGGGAGUGGUGGCCCAGAGGCUGGUGUUUGCUGGUGGAGACGCGGAGUUGAACAUGUGCUUUCCUUCCCUGCGGCUCAGCUCCUACCACACAGGUGAGCUCAGCAAGGCGCUGGCCUGUCAGCCUCAGGACCCAGCACCGCAGGACGCCUGAAAAGGAAGGUCUUCUGGUAACUGGGAAAGGAAACACUUUUAUGGCAUUGACAGUCUUGCUUGUGAUGCUGGUAGCU